rnacentral:lncRNA from 1 species
AUGGAAACUCCCGACAAUAUCAGCUGGAAAUUACCUAUGGAAGCUGAGUCACCUACCUCGCUCCUGGAGCCCGCUGGCUGUUUCCAAGGCCUUCUUCAUUAUUCAAACCACGACUCCAUCACAGGAAUACCCAAAGCAACAUUUGAUAGUUGUGGAAGAUUUUUACCCUCACAAGUCAUGAAUACUUUCUGUUUAUCGCUUACACUGAGGAUUUAUGACUAUCUAAGUGUUGUAUUUCCGAAGGGAAGCAUCCUAUCCUCAGAUCCAUUCUGCUCACGUCAGAAUACCUUUGAAGACUAGGCACUUAUUAUUUCUACAAUGAAUCUGUUUCCUCCAGACUCCCGGCUGUCACCGUCCUGACCUGCCACCUGUGUCACAUCCCAUCAAGUGCUGUGGAUGAGCCAGGUACCAGUAAACCAGCCCCCGAGGCUGGAGAAAUGUUGGAUGUAGAUGCUCACAGAAUCAUUCAUCAAAUCUUGGAAGCUUCGGAGAGAAGUGCGUAAAAUGAAAAUUUAGUUCCAGAGAAAUAGAGCCUCAAUUUAAUACCAUCUACCAAAGCACUGCCACGUCUGUCAUCUU